ensembl:lncRNA
AUGAUGGCCUUUAUUAUGCAUUCAAUUAAUAUAGGCUUGCACGUUCUAUUUUAUCAAGGGACAAUUGAAGAAACAAGGGCCCUCAUCGAGUGGCGGGCGGCAAAUGAAGCUCGGUUCACUGGCCUCCGCAACUCCUCUGCUACGGGAUGGGAGGACUUCAUUUCCACUUCUGGCCUGGAUAUUUCCACCAAACAGGCCAUGAAGAAGUGGAACAAUCUGAAGCUCAAGUACAAAUCGCUUAGGGACCCACCGACAGGCAGAGGGGUAGAGGCUGGUACAGCUACUGCCGCCACCUGGCAGUGGUAUGGUGCCAUGGAUGCUGCACUCCAGGGACAUCACUCCAUCUGUCCGCCCCUGGUUGUUGCAUCCAACAUGACUGCCACUACAGGUGGGGUAGUAAGCACACCGGCUUCUACCUCUUCUGCUGAGGAGGCCGGGGGAAGCAGCAGCAGAAAGAGACCCAGGGACAGUCUGCUGGAGCUUUUGAGGGAGUGGCGAGAGAGGCAGAGAGGGAGAGGGCGGCAGCAGUCUGGGCUGAACGGUACCUGACCCUGUUUGAAAAAUUAAUCUCCAAGAUGUAAAUAAAUAUUAUUCUAAAUUCAUCUGCUCAUUCUUGAAAGCAAAAGUGUAAUUUUAUGUUACAUUUCACAUGUAUACUGGCAAAUUCAGUUACACAAGGACUUCAGGAGGCAAGAGUUUCAAGAAGAAAAUCGCUGCUUUAUUAAGCAUAAAAAACAGACGAUAUCUGCUGAAAGUUGUUGAAAAAAAUAUAUGUACAUUUAUUGACAAAGCUAUGAAUAUAUAUACAAAAAAAAAAAGUGUGUGUGUGUGUCUAGAGGUAAUCAUGUUCUUGCAGGCAAACAUCCAGUCCUGCAGGAGCAGAAACAUGGGCAGCAAUCCUCGCCCGUGACGCAUUGCCUGACAGGUCCCUGUCAUCUGCCUCCACGGUGUCACCUGGGCCAUCCUCCUCCUCCUCCUCCAAGAUAUCCCCUGCUGCCAUGCAAAUGUUGUGCAGGAUGCAGCAGGCACCUACCACCUUGGGGGCAAACAGAGACCGGAUCUCCAUAUACCGCAGGAAGAUGGCCCGCCAGCGGGUUUUGAGGAUCCCGAAUGACCUCUCCACAAUGUUACGCCCUCUAGCGUGGUGCCUGUUGUAUCUGGCUUCAACCUGACCUGGUAAUCAAAAAUCACAUGGAUGUAUCAGUGUCACCAAACUAACAAUUUGUUUCUGUGCAUGUGUGACAGAAGAGAAGGUGCUUACCGGCUAAAGGGUGGCGGUAUGGCGUCAUGAUGGCCACAGGACGCUGCAGGCAUGGGUACCCUCCAUCACCCAGCAAGAAGUACCCAGCUGGUGGGUAAAGAGCCUGCCUAUAAAAAGGAGAACGUCGGAGAACGAGGGCAUCAUGCACUGACCCCGGGGUCCCGAUGUGCACGUCAAUAAAUUGACCGUUUCCAUCGCAGAUGCCCUGCAGGAUGAUGGAAGUGAAGAGCUUCCGGUUAAAGUAGCUCUUCUUCUGCUCUGCAGGCGGCAAAACUUUGAUGUGGCAUCCAUCAAUGGCCCCAGCAGCACAUCUGAAGGCCUCGUGACCUGCUAGGCGAGCAAAGCCAGCCCCCACCGCCUCCAUCUCCUCUGCCUUGGGGAAAUGAAUCACCCUGUGGAGGAUGGCCAUCAUCUCCUCCACCACGCCAUGGACCGUCCUGCAAACUGUGGACAGGGGCAUCCCGAAGGCAUCUGCCGUUGCCCUGUACGAUGCUCCACAGGUCAGCCAGUACAUUGCAACCAGCACCUCCACCUCAUGGCUCCAUCCAUGGGCUUUUUGCCGGGGCAGCAAGGCAAGCAGCCGGUUGAAGCUCUCCCUGGAGAGCCUGAGGGCUGGCUUCAGGUCCCCUCCAGAGAAAAACAAGGCUAGGAUGGGCACAGUGAUGUUCAGCUGUGUGUACAGCUGUGAGCUGCUUUGUUCCUGGUACCAAACAAAGAAAAUAAAUAUAUUUUUAUAUGCCAAUGGUUAGGUUAAUAUAUUUUGAUUUAUUGCUUAUUUGUGUAUUUUAAUGUACAAUAAAUUGCAAUUAUGUAUUUAAUAUGUAUUGUCUGCUGUAUACCAGAAUUAAAAAACAAUUUAACAUUUUACUUG